AUUGAACGCUGGCGGCAUGCCUUACACAUGCAAGUCGAACGGUAACAGGUCUUCGGAUGCUGACGAGUGGCGAACGGGUGAGUAAUGCAUCGGAACGUGCCCAGUAGUGGGGGAUAGCCCGGCGAAAGCCGGAUUAAUACCGCAUACGACCUGAGGGUGAAAGGGGGGGAUCGCAAGAGCUCUCGCUAUUGGAGCGGCCGAUGUCAGAUUAGCUAGUUGGUGGGGUAAAGGCAGACCAAGGCAACGAUCUGUAGUUGGUCUGAGAGGACGACCAGCCACACUGGGACGGAGACACGGCCAAGACUCCUACGGGAGGCAGCAGUGGGGAAUUUUGGACAAUGGGCGCAAGCCUGAUCCAGCAAUGCCGCGUGCAGGAAGAAGGCCUUCUGGUUGUAAACUGCUUUUGUCAGGGAAGAAAUCUUCUGGGUUAAUACCUCGGGAGGAUGACGGUACCUGAAGAGUAAGCACCGGCUAACUACGUGCCAGCCGCCGCAGUAACAC
rnacentral:rRNA from 1 species